GACGAACGCUGGCGGCGUGCUUAACACAUGCAAGUCGAACGGAAAGGCCCUUCGGGGUACUCGAGUGGCGAACGGGUGAGUAACACGUGGGUGAUCUGCCCUGCACUUUGGGAUAAGCCUGGGAAACUGGGUCUAAUACCGAAUAGGACCACGCGCUUCAUGGUGUGUGGUGGAAAGCUUUUGCGGUGUGGGAUGGGCCCGCGGCCUAUCAGCUUGUUGGUGGGGUAAUGGCCUACCAAGGCGACGACGGGUAGCCGGCCUGAGAGGGUGACCGGCCACACUGGGACUGAGAUACGGCCCAGACUCCUACGGGAGGCAGCAGUGGGGAAUAUUGCACAAUGGGCGCAAGCCUGAUGCAGCGACGCCGCGUGAGGGAUGACGGCCUUCGGGUUGUAAACCUCUUUCAAUAGGGACGAAGCGCAAGUGACGGUACCUAUAGAAGAAGCACCGGCCAACUACGUGCCAGCAGCCGCGGUAAUACGUAGGGUGCGAGCGUUGUCCGGAAUUACUGGGCGUAAAGAGCUCGUAGGUGGUUUGUCGCGUUGUUCGUGAAAACUCACAGCUUAACUGUGGGCGUGCGGGCGAUACGGGCAGACUAGAGUACUGCAGGGGAGACUGGAAUUCCUGGUGUAGCGGUGGAAUGCGCAGAUAUCAGGAGGAACACCGGUGGCGAAGGCGGGUCUCUGGGCAGUAACUGACGCUGAGGAGCGAAAGCGCGGGGAGCGAACAAGAUUAGAUACCCUGGUAGUCCACGCCGUAAACGGUGGGUACUAGGUGUGGGUUCCUUCCUUGGGAUCCGUGCCGUAGCUAACGCAUUAAGUACCCCGCCUGGGGAGUACGGCCGCAAGGCUAAAACUCAAAGGAAUUGACGGGGGCCCGCACAAGCGGCGGAGCAUGUGGAUUAAUUCGAUGCAACGCGAAGAACCUUACCUGGGUUUGACAUGCACAGGACGCCGGCAGAGAUGUCGGUUCCCUUGUGGCCUGUGUGCAGGUGGUGCAUGGCUGUCGUCAGCUCGUGUCGUGAGAUGUUGGGUUAAGUCCCGCAACGAGCGCAACCCUUGUCCUAUGUUGCCAGCGGGUUAUGCCGGGGACUCGUAGGAGACUGCCGGGGUCAACUCGGAGGAAGGUGGGGAUGACGUCAAGUCAUCAUGCCCCUUAUGUCCAGGGCUUCACACAUGCUACAAUGGCCGGUACAAAGGGCUGCGAUGCCGUGAGGUGGAGCGAAUCCUUUCAAAGCCGGUCUCAGUUCGGAUCGGGGUCUGCAACUCGACCCCGUGAAGUCGGAGUCGCUAGUAAUCGCAGAUCAGCAACGCUGCGGUGAAUACGUUCCCGGGCCU
rnacentral:rRNA from 1 species